rnacentral:rRNA from 1 species
AUUGAACGCUGGCGGCAGGCCUAACACAUGCAAGUCGAACGAGUGGCGGACGGGUGAGUAAUGUCUGGGAAACUGCCCGAUGGAGGGGGAUAACUACUGGAAACGGUAGCUAAUACCGCAUACCAUCGGAUGUGCCCAGAUGGGAUUAGCUAGUUGGUGGGGUAAAGGCACACCUAGGAGACGAUCCCUAGCUGGUCUGAGAGGAUGACCAGCCACACUGGAACUGAGACACGGUCCAGACUCCUACGGGAGGCAGCAGUGGGGAAUAGUUGACAAUGGGCGCAAGCCUGAUGCAGCCAUGCCGCGUGUAUGAAGAAGGCCUGCGGGUUGUAAAGUACUUUCGUCGGGGAGGCGUUACCCGCAGAAGAAGCACCGGCUAACUCCGUGCCAGCAGCCGCGGUAAUUC